GUGGGGAAUAUUGGACAAUGGGCGCAAGCCUGAUCCAGCCAUGCCGCGUGAGUGAUGAAGGCCCUAGGGUUGUAAAGCUCUUUCACCGGAGAAGAUAAUGACGGUAUCCGGAGAAGAAGCCCCGGCUAACUUCGUGCCAGCAGCCGCGGUAAUACGAAGGGGGCUAGCGUUGUUCGGAAUUACUGGGCGUAAAGCGCACGUAGGCGGACAUUUAAGUCAGGGGUGAAAUCCCGGAGCUCAACUCCGGAACUGCCUUUGAUACUGGGUGUCUGGAGUAUGGAAGAGGUGAGUGGAAUUCCGAGUGUAGAGGUGAAAUUCGUAGAUAUUCGGAGGAACACCAGUGGCGAAGGCGGCUCACUGGUCCAUUACUGACGCUGAGGUGCGAAAGCGUGGGGAGCAAACAGGAUUAGAAACCCGAGUAGUCC
rnacentral:rRNA from 1 species